UGCCACAGACCAUCAGUAGAUUUAAUCCUAAUGUCUUCGUAUUCGAUUCCCACAGAAGCGUAAUAGAAGAAGAGAAACUGGAGAGUUGCUGUUGCUCCACCAAUCUUUCAUCGCCUCUCUCUUUCUCCAUCUUCAAUCUUCAGUAAUCGACGUAUAUGACACGAAGAAGAUGAAAUUUUAUUGUUUUCUUGAGUUCCAUCGCCUAGAGAACUUCUCCAUCAAAAUCAAUCCUCAGCUGGAGCAACUGGUGGGGUAGGUAGAAGUUUUUGUGGAAGAAAGGGAUUCCGGUCCAAGUGUUGGUAAUAUGCUCUGAUAUUUUCUAGUGCCGCAUUUAUACAAAUCUUGGCUCACAAAACUGACUAAUCUUUUCUCCUCCAUUUAAGAUUUUCAAUUCACAAUCAUUGCUUAUUUUCUUGCUGUCUGCUCUAUGUUUGGUAAUUGAACUACUUUUACGUGAGAAAUCAAGAGAAUGCGAGGAAAAUGCUGGGCUGAAUCCCACUUUUGUUCUGAUCCUGAAAGAAUGUGAAAUCCUUCCAGCUCAUGUUCGGCAAGUUUGAGUACGACACGGGAAACUGAAUCCCACUUUUGUGGAAGGCGAAUUUCAACUUCCAGUUUCAAGCAUUGGACCUUAUAUAAAGGAUCCAGUCGCUCCCAGGUCUAAAACCUAACUUCACUUAAGGGCGCAAAGCCGCAUACAAACUAAGAUAAACCGAGCCAAAACUUAUAGAACAAACUUGGGCUGUAAGUCUGUAACCUAAUUCCUUAGGUUUCACUGUUUCAGUCCGGCUCAAGUUUGAGAUGUGUUUUGUAGGGGAAGUUUUGCUCAUGCAGGGAGAGUUAACUUCGGCUAGGACUGGUUUGGCAUGGUGUAUCUAAUGGUUCCAUCAAAUUAACUCUUUAUGUCGGAGUCUCUUGGUUCGUACAUGUCAGUUCUGCAGGAGUAACUCGACCUGAUGGGCCUGAACUAGAUCUCAAAUUCUUGGACUCAAAGAGGAUUUGCUUCAUAAGAGAGAGAAACAAUAAAUGUUACAAAAGACAAGAAAAAAUUCAGGGAGAAGUAUGGAAAAUCUUUGUUUAGACACAGCCUGUCAUGGUGAGAGCCCAGAGCAUACCUGCAAAAACUGCCAUGCUUACAUGUGUCUGUCGAUCUCUGGUACUCUGACUGUUCAUCUGGCGUUUCACUGCAACUAGAAAAUGACUGCCAUUUCCCACACAAGAGGAGACAAUGGUGGCUCAUACAUUGAAGCAAACUCUGUAUCUUCUGGCACGGCGGCGGCGAGCUUCCAUUACAUCUCUGAGUCUUCCAAGCAUCUCUUCUUCGGUUAAAAUUCCACCAGGUGAGCUCAUGAAUG